rnacentral:misc_RNA from 1 species
CCUUACUAUCUGGGAAGCGUACACAGGCUCUCUGUGUACUCUUCCUCAGGUCUUCACCCUUGUUUUUGCGCACCCAGUGUUUCCUCGGCGCGGCUUGCCCGCCGGUUGGAUAACCAUUAUAACCUUUUAUGUAAUCUUCAAUCAGCGUCUGAAAAAACUUAAUAGUUA